rnacentral:rRNA from 1 species
CCUACGGGCGGCUGCAGUGAGGAAUAUUGGUCAAUGGACGCGAGUCUGAACCAGCCAAGUAGCGUGAAGGAUGACUGCCCUAUGGGUUGUAAACUUCUUUUAUAAAGGAAUAAAACGCGGCACGUGUGCCUUUUUGCAUGUACUUUAUGAAUAAGGAUCGGCUAACUCCGUGCCAGCAGCCGCGGUAAUACGGAGGAUCCGAGCGUUAUCCGGAUUUAUUGGGUUUAAAGGGAGCGUAGAUGGGUUGUUAAGUCAGUUGUGAAAGUUUGCGGCUCAACCGUAAAAUUGCAGUUGAUACUGGCAGUCUUGAGUACAGUAGAGGUAGGCGGAAUUCGUGGUGUAGCGGUGAAAUGCUUAGAUAUCACGAAGAACCCCGAUUGCGAAGGCAGCUUGCUAAACUGUGACUGACAUUGAUGCUCGAAAGUGUGGGUAUCAAACAGGAUUAGAUACCCUAGUAGUC